rnacentral:rRNA from 1 species
ACGUAGGUGGCAAGCGUUGUCCGGAUUUAUUGGGCGUAAAGCGAGCGCAGGCGGAAGAAUAAGUCUGAUGUGAAAGCCCUCGGCUUAACCGAGGAACUGCAUCGGAAACUGUUUUUCUUGAGUGCAGAAGAGGAGAGUGGAACUCCAUGUGUAGCGGUGGAAUGCGUAGAUAUAUGGAAGAACACCAGUGGCGAAGGCGGCUCUCUGGUCUGCAACUGACGCUGAGGCUCGAAAGCAUGGGUAGCGAACAG